rnacentral:rRNA from 1 species
UACGUAGGUGGCAAGCGUUGUCCGGAAUUAUUGGGCGUAAAGCGCGCGCAGGCGGUCCCUUAAGUCUGAUGUGAAAGCCCACGGCUCAACCGUGGAGGGUCAUUGGAAACUGGGGGACUUGAGUACAGAAGAGGAAAGCGGAAUUCCACGUGUAGCGGUGAAAUGCGUAGAGAUGUGGAGGAACACCAGUGGUGAAGGCGGCUUUCUGGUCUGUAACUGACGCUGAGGCGCGAAAGCGUGGGGAGCAAACAGG